rnacentral:misc_RNA from 1 species
UCACUACUUGCGUAGGCAGUCUGGCUAGAGUCCCCACCUUCACGUGCUGGUAACUAACCACAGGGGUUGCGCUCGUUGCGCCACUUAAGGCAACACCUCACGGCACGAGCUGACGACAGCCAUGCAGCACCUUCCCUGGCGCCCCGAAGGGAAGCCCCGUUUCGGGGGCGGUCACCAGAGAUUUAGCCCGGGUAAGGUUCUUCGCGUUGCAUCGAAUUAAGCCACAUGCUCCACCGCUUGUGCGGGCCCCCGUCAAUUCCUUUGAGUUUCAUUCUUGCGAACGUACUCCCCAGGUGGUAUGCUUACUGCGUUAACUGCGUCACCGAACCCAAAGGCCCGACAACUAGCAUACAUCGUUUACAGCGUGGACUAC